rnacentral:rRNA from 1 species
CAGUAGCCGCGGUAAUACGUAGGGUCCGAGCGUUGUCCGGAAUUAUUGGGCGUAAAGGGCUCGUAGGCGGUUUGUUGCGUCGGGAGUGAAAACCCAGGGCUUAACUUUGGGCUUGCUUUCGAUACGGGCAGACUCGAGGCAUUGAGGGGAGAACGGAAUUCCUGGUGUAGCGGUGAAAUGCGCAGAUAUCAGGAGGAACACCGGUGGCGAAGGCGGUUCUCUGGCAAUGUUCUGACGCUGAGGAGCGAAAGUGUGGGGAGCGAACAGGAUUAGAUACCCCCGUAGUCCCUGUCUCUUAUAU